UACAGAGGGGGCAAGCGUUGUUCGGAAUUACUGGGCGUAAAGGGCGCGUAGGCGCCUUCUAAGUCGAACGUGAAAUCCCCGGGCUCAACCCGGGAACUGCGUCCGAUACUGGAAGGCUUGAAUCCGGGAGAGGGAUGCGGAAUUCCAGGUGUAGCGGUGAAAUGCGUAGAUAUCUGGAGGAACACCGGUGGCGAAGGCGGCAUCCUGGACCGGCAUUGACGCUGAGGCGCGAAAGCCAGGGGAGCAAAGCGGGACUUAAGCAAACC
rnacentral:rRNA from 1 species